GGGGAUAUGGCGGAAUUGGUAGACGCGCUAGCUUCAGGAGUUAGUGGCAGCAAUGCCGUGAGAGUUCAACUCUCUCUAUCCCCA
rnacentral:tRNA from 1 species